rnacentral:rRNA from 1 species
AGAGUUUGAUCAUGGCUCAGGAUGAACGCUAGCGGCAGGCCUAACACAUGCAAGUCGAGGGGCAGCACGUCUUCGGAUGGUGGCGACCGGCGCACGGGUGCGUAACGCGUAUGCAACCUACCUUACACUGGGGUAUAGCCCGGAGAAAUUCGGAUUAAUCCCCCAUAGCACUUAGAGAUGGCAUCAUUUUUAAGUUAAAGUAUUGCGGUGUAAGAUGGGCAUGCGUCCUAUUAGCUAGAUGGUAAGGUAACGGCUUACCAUGGCUACGAUAGGUAGGGGGCCUGAGAGGGUGGUCCCCCACACUGGUACUGAGACACGGACCAGACUCCUACGGGAGGCAGCAGUGAGGAAUAUUGGUCAAUGGGCGCAAGCCUGAACCAGCCAUGCCGCGUGCAGGAAGAAUGCCCCUAUGGGUUGUAAACUGCUUUUAUUUAGGAAUAAACCUUUUCUACGUGUAGAAAGCUGAAGGUACUGAAUGAAUAAGCACCGGCUAACUCCGUGCCAGCAGCCGCGGUAAUACGGAGGGUGCAAGCGUUAUCCGGAAUCCUUGGGUUUAAAGGGUCC